rnacentral:rRNA from 1 species
UACCAGCACCCCGAGUGGUCGGGACGAUUAUUGGGCCUAAAGCAUCCGUAGCCGGCCUUACAAGUCCUCCGUUAAAUCCACCUGCUUAACAGAUGGGCUGCGGAAGAUACUAUAGGGCUAGGAGGCGGGAGAGGCAAGCGGUACUCAGUGGGUAGGGGUAAAAUCCUCUGAUCCAUUGAAGACCACCAGUGGCGAAGGCGGCUUGCCAGAACGCGCUCGACGGUGAGGGAUGAAAGCUGGGGGAGCAAACCGG